UACUUCACGCCGAUAAAAAUACAAAUCAAAAAUUGAAAAAAUGCAGAGAAGAUUAGCAUGGUCCCUGCACUAAGGAUGACACGCUAUAGCAUUAAAAGCUCGUCUUUUUG
rnacentral:snRNA from 1 species